CCUGAUAGUCAAAUAUUAAUUCAAAACGACAAGAUCCUGUCAGAUCUUGGAAGUUCAGCAGGGUCAGCCCUGUUUAGUACUUGGAUGGGAGACUAUUAAUAAAUACCAGGUACUAUAAGCA
rnacentral:rRNA from 11 species